CCACUUUUGAUGAGCCAUACGUUUGGAUUUUGUGCACAUCCUGGCCUAAAAACCAUGACAAAAGGAGGCAAUGCAGGCUUCAAGCAAACAAAUCAAUUUAUUAUUAGUUCCAACUUGGAAUAAGCUUACAAAACACUAACAAUGUGCUGUGUAGUCACUCAGUGGUGUAGGGUGGGUGAGUGAGGUGUUAAAAAUUAGUGGAUAAAGAGAAGAGGCAGCCAGGGCAGAAGCCAUCGCCAAGCCUGGGUGCAUCCAACUGAUACUGGAUUAUAACUCCCCCUACCUGUCAAAUCAUGGAAAAGAGAGCAAAGAAAGACAAAGCUGAUGGACAAGAAGACUGUUGCACCACAUACAGGCCUCAAAGGAAAGCAAAGUGUAACUAAUAUGCAUAAAUUACAGGCUGAGUCAUACCCUUGGCAUGUCCACAAAUUUUACACACUAGUGAUGUUCCCUCUGAUACUGAGGCUCCAGAGCUUGCUUCAAAUCAGGAAAAACCAUGUGAAUGACGUUCAAACCACUUCUCUGCUUCAUUCAGAUUGAAUCAGAUGACUGGUUUGGUUCAAUAGGCAGAGCUUUGAAACAUUGGCAUGAUACAGAUGUAUUUAAGAUGGAUGAAACCACGCUCUGUCCUACCUAGUCGACACAUUUUGGAUUGCCUCACUAUGGAGCCAUCAAGGAAACGGUCACAAGUGUGGGAACAUUUUGUAUUGGUGCCAUCGAAGAAGUCCAACGAAUGCUGAUGCGGCUGUGCGCCACUUGAAGUCGGUGUGCUGCCUUAAUCCAAAACGCACCCCAUGACGAUGUAUCAACACCGGCACAUCCAGAACCUGCUGCGGCUUCCACGGGCAUUGACCUGUGGAAGCUGCUCGACAAAAAUGCAGAAGAUGCCAGAAAAUCUCAGAACGCUACUGCAGAUGCCAUUGUGGAGGUUCAGUGAUAUCUGUUUGCUCCUCCUCUGGACAGAUCACAGGUCCUCUUAGGUUACUGGACGAUGCACAAAUACUCAUACCUGUUCAACCUGGACAAACGGUUCCUGGCAACACCAGCAUCUUCUGUGCCUUGUGAAAGGGUGUUCUCCAAAGCUGGGGAAGAUGUCUCACCUUUGCAAGGCUGUACCACAACCACUGUGCCAGCAGAUGCCACCCACAUGCUCAAUGAAUGAAGCUUCGAGUAGUGAACCAAUUUUUGAUACAAUGGUCCAAAGGGGUUCAAAGCUUCACGGGGCAUCAUAUGGCCAUCACUAAUACAAACUAUCUAGGCCUCCGUU